rnacentral:lncRNA from 1 species
ACUCCAGCCCCGCCUUCUGGACUUGGUCUUAGUUCCCAGUCGCGGCCAAAUCACGCCUCAGCCACCUCCCGCAAGCCUCUCACUGCCUCAGCCACGCUUUCCAGGCUGGUUUCUGGUCCCCAUCCGCGGCUGGUCCGGCCCUGGGACCGAAUCACUUCCCAGCGAGAGGAAGGUCAAAUUUCUCGACCGGCUACGGGAAGGUCGCGGCCGCCGCCCUGUCAGCCGCCUCGGCGCCCCCAGGACCCCUCGGGUCUCUUUAACCGGAAGCGGAAGUGCGUGUCGGCGGGAUCAUGGCGACUUUGGUCGAACUGCCGGACUCGGUCCUGCUCGAGAUCUUCUCUUACCUCCCGGUACGGGACCGGAUCCGCAUCUCCAGAUGCGACCUAAAGUCAUGUGGCACCUCCUUCGAAGGUACAUGGCAUCCCGGCUCCAUUCCCUGCGGAUGGGUGGCUACCUGUUCUCUGGCUCCCAGGCCCCCCAGUUGUCCCCUGCUCUGUUGAGAGCCCUGGGCCAGAAGUGCCCCAACCUGAAGCGCCUCUGCCUG